CAGAAGGAAGGAUUUUUUCGGGCGCCGCAAAGAUUUUAAUUUUUAACGACCACCCUCAUAUAUAUACUGAAAACAGAUAC